AUGGGGCAGGAGAGAGGGAGUCCCAACAGCAAGGCUGGGGAAGGUUCAUGGAAGGUGGCAUUCGGCACGGUUCUGGAAAAACACAGACAACAGGGCCAAAUAGAAAGCCCCAGCCAUCACCUCUCCAGACAAAACACCUAAUUCAACAACUACCACGAAAUCAAACACUCUCAGAAGAACCAAAAAUCAGGUCACCACGGUGGUGCCACCAGGAGUCUGCAAGAGUCACAGCAUCACUGGGCUUGGAGCACCUCCCGUGCCGAUUCGACUGCAGCGACCAAAGACUGUGACCACGACACUCGAUUCCCUCUGAGUAUCCGGAAGGGCAGGUUCAGUGGACAAGUAGCCAAGCUUUCGGCAACAACCUCACCAAACUAAGGCACCAGUGACCAAUCCCAGGGCGAUGGAGCUAGAUAGCCUUGCAGACGAGGAAUUCAAAACAAACAUCCUGAAGCUCAAUGAACUUAAAGACAACACGCAGAAGGAAUUCAGAAGCCUAUAGAUAAAUUUAACAAAGAGAUUGAAAUAAUAAUAAAAAAAAAAUCAAGCAGAAAUUCUAGAAUUAGCAUUCUACAACUGAGCUAGGAAGGAUGCUAAUGUGAACUAAAAUGCUCACCCCCACCCCACCGGCUGACUGACUGAAUGGACC